AGAACGAACGCUGGCGGCGUGCCUAAGCCAUGCAAGUCGAACGGGUUGUCGCAAGACAAUCAGUGGCGAACUGGUGAGUAAUACGUGGGUAAUCUGCCCGAGAGUGGGGAAUAGCCCUUCCAACGAGGGGGUAACACCGCAUAUUAUCGCGAAUCCGCAUGGAUUUGCGAUGAAAACAGGGGAUCGCAAGACCUUGUGCUCUCGGAUGAACCCGCGCCCCAUUAGCUAGUUGGUGAGGUAACGGCUCACCAAGGCGACGAUGGGUAGCCGGCCUGAGAGGGUGACCGGCCACACUGGGACUGAGAUACGGCCCAGACUCCUACGGGAGGCAGCAGGCGGGAAUAUUGGGCAAUGGACGAAAGUCUGACCCAGCGACGCCGCGUGAGGGAUGAAGCUUCUCGGAGCGUAAACCUCAAACGGAUAGGGACGAAAAGCCUAUCGGCUAAUAUCCGGUAGGCCUGACGGUACCUGUUACGAAGCUCCGGCUAACGUCCGUG
rnacentral:rRNA from 1 species